CAGGUAUCUUCAUGGUUCUGCUGCAGAAACUUCAGAAGAAAUGAGUUACCCAGUGAAGAAAUAUAUUGGCUAGUCUUCUGUUUGCUUUGGAACAAGAUACAGAUCUCUCAGCUCUUCCAGUUCCGUGCUUUCUGCCUUGAUAAUGGGCCAAACCUCUAAACCUAUAGGCGACUUCCAAUAAACCAUUGUUCUUUAUAA